UUCAUGCCGUCGUCAUUGUUAAUCAGUAGAACCAAAUGAGACUCACAGAGAAACAGGUGGUUUAAAUAAAUUUCUAAGCUCUACUGAUUCAUAUACCGCCGUGUGUGACAAGUCACCUUGAUGUUUAAUUAAUUACCUUAAAUGUAGCACCCCAGAUCUCUUCCUCCUUGGCCGGAACUGCAGUGAUCUUGUUUUUAGGAUUCUCAAAGCUUCUCAGUUCUCCAACUGCAGUGGAGAAGAAGCAUCCUGCAAAAUCCAGUAGCCUUGUCAGGUAAAAAAAUAAAAAUAAAAAUAAAA